rnacentral:rRNA from 1 species
UACGAAGGGGGCUAGCGUUGCUCGGAAUCACUGGGCGUAAAGCGCACGUAGGCGGAUUGUUAAGUCAGGGGUGAAAUCCUGGAGCUCAACUCCAGAACUGCCUUUGAUACUGGCGAUCUUGAGUCCGGGAGAGGUGAGUGGAACUGCGAGUGUAGAGGUGAAAAUUCGUAGAUAUUCGCAAGAACACCAGUGGCGAAGGCGGCUCACUGGCCCGAUACUGACGCUGAGGCACGAAAGCGUGGGGAGCAACAGG